rnacentral:rRNA from 1 species
UACAGAGGGGGCAAGCGUUAUUCGGAAUUAUUGGGCGUAAAGGGCGCGUAGGCGGCCUGACAAGUGGAAGGUGAAAUCCCUCGGCUUAACCGAGGAACUGCCUGUCAAACUGCAUGGCUUGAGACCGGGAGAGGUGAGUGGAAUUCCCAGUGUAGCGGUGAAAUGCGUAGAUAUUGGGAGGAACACCAGUGGCGAAGGCGGCUCACUGGACCGGUACUGACGCUGAUGCGCGAAAGCGUGGGGAGCAAACAGG